GCACUGAUGAAGAGUCCCAAACUAGGACGAAACAGAUGUCCUGUAC
rnacentral:hammerhead_ribozyme from 1 species